UUGGCCGCCCGGAUCCCUCACUCUCUUGUUUUUUGUUUUUUUUCUGUACGAAUCCCAACUCCGAUCGAGAUGGAGUUUGUCUUUGAAUUUUUUUGACGUGGGUGUAUUCAACGUGUGUGUAUUGUGCGGAAUUUGGUGUGGGCGAGGUAUUGCAGAAGUUCAAGUGCUGCACCGUGAUCAAGUUCUCUCUUCUGUCUUUCCUUGUGUUUGGUGGACGGCGUAGUUGUUUCUUCUCCUUUUGCUAUCUGAGUGGGAUUUUUUGGAAGCCAAGCAGCGAGAUUAGUUACAACUAGUGUAUCGUGGUCGGACAAAUUCAUUUUGCGACUGAAGCAGGCUUGGAGUUCCAGUGUAAUGCAGCAGAACUAAUGCGGUUGGCAAUAGAGGUGGCAACUUUGAUUUUUUGUUCUGCGUGUGGCUAGUUCUAUAUGGUAAAGUCGAUGCAGAAAUGUGGAGUUGUGGUGACGAUGUACUAGGUCUAUAUUCAGCUGCAGCGGCUACCAUGAGGGAGCUUGUUGGUGUAGCGUGGUGGUGGCAGAUCUUAUGAAGAAAAGAUACUAAAUUGCGAAGGCUUUGAGCACACAAAGUUCAAGUUCAAAUAGAGGACCCUUCUUAAAAUGUGAAGAAGCAGAAGAGGGAGAAGUAACAGCAGGUGUAUAUCUGUGCGACAAAGUACUUCCGUCACUAGGUUCCUGUUGCACACUGUUAUCCAUGGCUUCAAGUUUCAAAUAAUGUUCACAUAUUGGAAGAUUCACUAGCUCGGAUCGAGCACAAGGUGUGGUGGUCGAGUGUGGAGUUGCAAGUCAAUUGUAAAGGAAACAAAAAAAAAAAAAAAAAAAAAAAAAAUAGAAGAAGAUUUAAAAAUUACUUAAUUGUGAGAGAUUCUAGUUGAUGGAACCUCUAAGAGCAUUCAAAGCUUAGAUCUAGAUUGCUAAUUCUACAAAGUACUGGUGCUAAUAUUGAACGACAAACAAUGUAGAAAAGAAGCUCUAAGAACGAGACAAAUUAAGAGAAUUGGGAGCACCUCA